UACGGGGGGGUGCGAGCGUUGUCCGGAAUCACUGGGCGUAAAGGGCGCGUAGGUGGCGUGAUAAGGGUGUGGUGAAAGCCCGGGGCUCAACCCCGGGUCUGCCAUGCCGACUGUCAGGCUCGAGUGCUGUAGGGGCAGGCGGAAUUCCGGGUGUAGCGGUGGAAUGCGUAGAGAUCCGGAGGAAGACCGGUGGCGAAGGCGGCCUGCUGGGCAGUUACUGACACUGAGGCGCGACAGCGUGGGGGAGCAAACAGGG
rnacentral:rRNA from 1 species